rnacentral:rRNA from 1 species
UACGUAGGGCGCAAGCGUUAUCCGGAAUUAUUGGGCGUAAAGAGCUCGUAGGCGGUUUGUCGCGUCUGCCGUGAAAGUCCGGGGCUCAACUCCGGAUCUGCGGUGGGUACGGGCAGACUAGAGUGAUGUAGGGGAGACUGGAAUUCCUGGUGUAGCGGUGAAAUGCGUAGAUAUCUGGAGGAACACCGGUGGCGAAGGCGGCAUCCUGGACCAACACUGACACUGAGGAGCGAAAGCCAGGGGAGCAAACGGG